AACGAACGCUGGCGGCAUGCCUAACACAUGCAAGUCGAACGAGACCUUCGGGUCUAGUGGCGCACGGGUGCGUAACGCGUGGGAACCUGCCCUUAGGUUCGGAAUAACUCCCCGAAAGGGGUGCUAAUACCGGAUAAUGUCUUCGGACCAAAGAUUUAUCGCCUUUGGAUGGGCCCGCGUUGGAUUAGCUAGUUGGUAGGGUAAAAGCCUACCAAGGCGACGAUCCAUAGCUGGUUUGAGAGGAUGAUCAGCCACACUGGGACUGAGACACGGCCCAGACUCCUACGGGAGGCAGCAGUGGGGAAUACUGGACAAUGGGCGAAAGCCUGAUCCAGCAAUGCCGCGUGAGUGAUGAAGGCCUUAGGGUUGUAAAGCUCUUUUACCCGGGAUGAUAAUGACAGUACCGGGAGAAUAAGCUCCGGCUAACUCCGUG
rnacentral:rRNA from 1 species